rnacentral:rRNA from 1 species
UGGCGGUGUUAGAGGUGAAAUUCUUGGAUCGCCGCCAGACAAACUACAGCGAAAGCAUUUGCCAAGGAUGUUUUCAUUGAUCUGGAGCGAAAGUCAGAGGUUCGAAGACGAUCAGAUACCGUCCUAGUUCUGACCAUAAACGAUGCCAACUGACGAUCCGUGGUGGUUCUUUUAUUGGCCCCGCGGGCAGUCCCCGGGAAACCCUUAAGUCUUUGGGCUCCGGGGGAAGUAUGGUUGCAAAGCUGAAACUUAAAGGAAUUGACGGAAGGGCACCACCAGGAGUGGAGCCUGCGGCUUAAUUCGACUCAACACGGGAAAACUCACCCGGCCCGGACACUAUGAGGAUUGACAGAUUGACAGCUCUUUCUUGAUUCGGUGGUUGGUGGUGCAUGGCCGUUCUUAGUUGGUGGAGCGAUUUGUCUGGUUAAUUCCGAUAACGAACGAGACUUUGGCCUGCUAAAUAGUAUGCCCGUCCCCUGUGCUCGUAUAGGCCUGGGCGUUUACUGCCUUUCGGGGUGGUAGCGUGUUUGGUCGGCGGGUACGGCGCGGGUGUAUACUUCUUAGAGGGACCAGCGGCGCAAUAGUCGCACGAAAUUGAGCAAUAACAGGUCUGUGAUGCCCUUAGAUGUCCGGGGCCGCACGUGCGCUACAAUGACGGUUUCAGCGAGUCUGGAAUCCUGGCCUGAAAGGGUUGGGUAAACUGAAACAUAACCGUCGUGACUGGGAUCGGGGCUUGCAAUUGUUCCCCGUGAACGAGGAAUUCCUGGUAAGUGCAAGUCAUAAGCUUGCGCUGAUUACGUCCCUGCCCUUUGUACACACCGCCCGUCGCUACUACCGAUUGAAUGGUUUAGCGAGGUCAUCGGAUUGGUGCCAUUGUAGUGGCUUCGGCUGCUCGACCGGUGCUGAGAAGACGACCGAACUUGAUCAUUUAGAGGAAGUAAAAGUCGUAACAAGGUUUCCGUAGGUGAACCUGCGGAAGGAUCAUU